rnacentral:lncRNA from 1 species
AUGGAGCCAGCUCCAUCCUGCCCUCUCCGCCUCUGGCCUCCUGGCUGUGCCGCUACCUGGUUCCACACAACAGAGGCACAGGCAUAAAGGCCAUUGUCCCAAGCUCCAGAAGAUAGAGCAGAAGUGAACAACAGAGAGAGGGCCUCUCUCAGCCUCCUUGAUGAAAACUGAAGCCCACUGGAAAAGUGAAGAGAAUCUCUGCAGUAAGGGCACACCAGACCACCAUGCUUGGGGCUCUAUUUUCAUGGCUUUUGUCUCCUGAGGUCCUGCUUCUUUACACAGGUCUCCAUGUGUACACCUUUUAUCUGAACUCCUCUGCAUCAGCCCUGCAGUGUUGGAAUGUCACAGUCUUCACAGAAGAGUAUGAGCCCAGGGUGGAAUAACAUCAGUGCAAACUACUUUGGAAAGAAAGAAGGAAAAACUUACUUAUUUUUUCUCACUUAGGGUUUUACAUCUGUUACUGAGAAUUCCUCACACGUUCCUUUCAUAAGCAGUCCCUGCUCUCAUCUUCCCAUUUUCUCACCUCUUCUACUUUUCUUCCCUAUAACAGCAAACUUUAGUGAGCCUCAGGAUCACCUAGAGGACUUACUGAAACGCAGACUCCUGGACCUACCCACACCAUUUUGUUUAGUCUGUUGGAAGUAGGAUUUACCAGAGGAUCUGCUCCUAGAUAGUCUUGAUGUUAGCCUCAGACCACAUUUUAAGAAAUACUACUUUGGGGCU